rnacentral:tRNA from 1 species
UGGGGUAUAGCCAAGCGGUAAGGCAAGGGACUUUGACUCCCUUAUGCGUUUGUUUGAAUCCAGCUACCCCAC